rnacentral:rRNA from 1 species
AUUGAACGCUGGCGGCAGGCUUAACACAUGCAAGUCGAGCGGAGAUGAGGUGCUUGCACCUUAUCUUAGCGACGGACGGGUGAGUAAUGCUUAGGAAUCUGCCUAUUAGUGGGGGACAACAUUCCGAAAGGAAUGCUAAUACCGCAUACGCCCUACGGGGGAAAGCAGGGGAUCUUCGGACCUUGCGCUAAUAGAUGAGCCUAAGUCGGAUUAGCUAGUUGGUGGGGUAAAGGCCUACCAAGGCGACGAUCCGUAGCGGGUCUGAGAGGAUGAUCCGCCACACUGGGACUGAGACACGGCCCAGACUCCUACGGGAGGCAGCAGUGGGGAAUAUUGGACAAUGGGCGGAAGCCUGAUCCAGCCAUGCCGCGUGUGUGAAGAAGGCCUUUUGGUUGUAAAGCACUUUAAGCGAGGAGGAGGCUACCUGGAUUAAUACUCUAGGAUAGUGGACGUUACUCGCAGAAUAAGCACCGGCUAACUCUGUGCCAGCCGCCGCAGUAACAC